CUUGCCCGCUCCGCCCACCUCUUUGCAGGGCAGUCGGGAUGCGCUUGUGGGGGUGGGGUCUGGAGCAAGCACCCAGCCAAUGGGGCGCGGCGGCUGGUCCGGCGACUAGCCGCGGCGGCUGAGGUGAAGGUCCGAGUAGGCGGUGUCUGCGGAGCGGUGAGAUGGCGGCGCCCGUCCUUCUGAGAGCGUAGGCGCUGUGGUGGGAGCGGGGGGCCCGGUACCCUGUGUGCGCAGCGGGGGUCUUGCCCUCCGUCUAUGAGUACUAGCUGGAGUGGGAGUAGGAGCCGGACCGAGCACUGGGCCCUCUGCGACCUGGUGAGGUGCUUCGCAGUCCUUGCCUCCAGAAUCCUUGCCCAGAGUCCAGCGCCUCCUUCCUGUCCAGGAACACCUUCUGGUGGAUCACAGGAUUGAUCAUCCGGGGAUACCACCAGCCCCUGGAGAGCAGUGGCCUCUGGUCCUUAAACGAGGAGGACACAUCGGAACAAGUCAUGCCUGCUUUGGUAAAGAAUUGGAAGAAGAAACGCACCAAGUCUAGGAAGGAUGCCCAGGAUACAGGCCUUCAGUCAGACGCAGAUGGUGGGUGGAAAUCUGGGACAUCCAUGAUGCCAGCCACUUGGACAUCAGCAGAGGACCUCAUGACCCUGGUAGGAGACUGUCUGGGUGGUCCAGGUGAUGAGAGAAACGGUCUCAUGGGAGACGGAUAG
rnacentral:lncRNA from 1 species